rnacentral:rRNA from 1 species
ACGAACGCUGGCGGCGUGCUUAACACAUGCAAGUCGCACGGAAAGGCCCUGCUUUUGUGGGGUGCUCGAGUGGCGAACGGGUGAGUAACACGUGAGUAACCUGCCCUUGACUUUGGGAUAACUUCAGGAAACUGGGGCUAAUACCGGAUAGGAGCUCCUGCUGCAUGGUGGGGGUUGGAAAGUUUCGGCGGUUGGGGAUGGACUCGCGGCUUAUCAGCUUGUUGGUGGGGUAGUGGCUUACCAAGGCUUUGACGGGUAGCCGGCCUGAGAGGGUGACCGGCCACAUUGGGACUGAGAUACGGCCCAGACUCCUACGGGAGGCAGCAGUGGGGAAUAUUGCACAAUGGGCGGAAGCCUGAUGCAGCAACGCCGCGUGCGGGAUGACGGCCUUCGGGUUGUAAACCGCUUUCGCCUGUGACGAAGCGUGAGUGACGGUAAUGGGUAAAGAAGCACCAGCUAACUACGUG